rnacentral:rRNA from 1 species
AGAGUUUGAUCAUGGCUCAGAUUGAACGCUGGCGGCAGGCCUAACACAUGCAAGUCGAACGGUAACAGGAAGCAGCUUGCUGCUUUGCUGACGAGUGGCGGACGGGUGAGUAAUGUCUGGGAAACUGCCUGAUGGAGGGGGAUAACUACUGGAAACGGUGGCUAAUACCGCAUAACGUCGCAAGACCAAAGAGGGGGACCUUCGGGCCUCUUGCCAUCAGAUGUGCCCAGAUGGGAUUAGCUAGUUGGUGAGGUAACGGCUCACCAAGGCGACGAUCCCUAGCUGGUCUGAGAGGAUGACCAGCCACACUGGAACUGAGACACGGUCCAGACUCCUACGGGAGGCAGCAGUGGGGAAUAUUGCACAAUGGGCGCAAGCCUGAUGCAGCCAUGCCGCGUGUAUGAAGAAGGCCUUCGGGUUGUAAAGUACUUUCAGCGGGGAGGAAGGUGUUGUGGUUAAUAACCACAGCAAUUGACGUUACCCGCAGAAGAAGCACCGGCUAACUCCGUGCCAGCAGCCGCGGUAAUACGGAGGGUGCAAGCGUUAAUCGGAAUUACUGGGCGUAAAGCGCACGCAGGCGGUCUGUCAAGUCGGAUGUGAAAUCCCCGGGCUCAACCUGGGAACUGCAUUCGAAACUGGCAGGCUUGAGUCUUGUAGAGGGGGGUAGAAUUCCAGGUGUAGCGGUGAAAUGCGUAGAGAUCUGGAGGAAUACCGGUGGCGAAGGCGGCCCCCUGGACAAAGACUGACGCUCAGGUGCGAAAGCGUGGGGAGCAAACAGGAUUAGAUACCCUGGUAGUCCACGCCGUAAACGAUGUCUACUUGGAGGUUGUGCCCUUGAGGCGUGGCUUCCGGAGCUAACGCGUUAAGUAGACCGCCUGGGGAGUACGGCCGCAAGGUUAAAACUCAAAUGAAUUGACGGGGGCCCGCACAAGCGGUGGAGCAUGUGGUUUAAUUCGAUGCAACGCGAAGAACCUUACCUGGUCUUGACAUCCACAGAAGAAUCCAGAGAUGGAUUUGUGCCUUCGGGAACUGUGAGACAGGUGCUGCAUGGCUGUCGUCAGCUCGUGUUGUGAAAUGUUGGGUUAAGUCCCGCAACGAGCGCAACCCUUAUCCUUUGUUGCCAGCGGUUAGGCCGGGAACUCAAAGGAGACUGCCAGUGAUAAACUGGAGGAAGGUGGGGAUGACGUCAAGUCAUCAUGGCCCUUACGACCAGGGCUACACACGUGCUACAAUGGCGCAUACAAAGAGAAGCGACCUCGCGAGAGCAAGCGGACCUCAUAAAGUGCGUCGUAGUCCGGAUUGGAGUCUGCAACUCGACUCCAUGAAGUCGGAAUCGCUAGUAAUCGUGGAUCAGAAUGCCACGGUGAAUACGUUCCCGGGCCUUGUACACACCGCCCGUCACACCAUGGGAGUGGGUUGCAAAAGAAGUAGGUAGCUUAACCUUCGGGAGGGCGCUUACCACUUUGUGAUUCAUGACUGGGGUGAAGUCGUAACAAGGUAACCGUAGGGGAACCUGCGGUUG